rnacentral:rRNA from 1 species
CACGCUGUAAACGAUGAAUACUAGGUGUGCGGGGACUGACCCCCUGCGUGCCGCAGUUAACACAAUAAGUAUUCCACCUGGGGAGUACGAUCGCAAGGUUGAAACUCAAAGGAAUUGACGGGGACCCGCACAAGCAGCGGAGCAUGUGGUUUAAUUCGAAGCAACGCGAAGAACCUUACCAGGUCUUGACAUCCUCUGACGAGCCUAGAGAUAGGAAGUUUCCUUCGGGAACAGAGAGACAGGUGG